rnacentral:rRNA from 1 species
UACGGGGGGGGGCAAGCGUUGUUCGGAAUUACUGGGCGUAAAGGGCUCGUAGGUGGCCAACUAAGUCAGACGUGAAAUCCCUCAGCUUAACUGGGGAACUGCGUCUGAUACUGGAUGGCUUGAGUUUGGGAGAGGGAUGCGGAAUUCCAGGUGUAGCGGUGAAAUGCGUAGAUAUCUGGAGGAACACCCGUGGCGAAAGCGGCUCUCUGGGACGGUACUGACGCUGAGACGCGAAAGCGUGGGGAGCAAACAGGG